rnacentral:tRNA from 1 species
UGGCUCAGAUGGUAAAGCAUCUGCCUGCAAUGCGGGAGACCUGGGUUCAAUUCCUAG